ensembl:lncRNA
AAGGAAAUAACCUCAUCGCUUUCUAUGCCAAAUGCGGCCCAGCCCUGCUCAACCUGUUCUCAUUAUCUUAAUUCCCAGGAAUCUUUCUUGCAAAUCAGUCCAGGGAGUUCAUUUGUUUUUCACCAUAGAUAAAGUUGUUUGUUCAUUUGUUUAGGUCGUAGCUCAAGGAGAGUUGUAUGUCCUCUCUCUCUCUGCGUUUUCAGGCUGGAAUCAUUGACAGCAGCUAGAGUCUCAGGACAUGAAUGUCCACUGAAGCGAAUGUCUUGGAGGGGUUGGUAGAACGUUGUUUUGUUGAUGAAGAGAAGAAUAAUGUCUGUAUGUGGGAUGACGGGACCAGGGCUUGGUCUGUCUGUGUUCCUGUUGGCUCUGCUUCAUCUUCAAUGCUCAGCCCUGAACAACUACACUACGCUCCCAAAUAACGUAUCAGUGGCUGUUGGCAAGCCUGCUGCCUUUCAGUGUGGUGUGUCCCCUCCUCCUAGACAACUCAACUUCACUCUCUAUGGUAGCCAUAGAAACAUAACCCUCAUCUGCCCAGGAGACCACACUGAGUAUCUGGCUGCCCAGUCAAUAAAAGGGUACUGUGAUAACACAGGUAAGGAGCUCUUUGCAAUAUGGCUUAUCAGUGGGACAUCCCGCUCUGACAACCACACACGUGUGGUAUGUGAGAGCUCAGGACGACCACUAGUGGAUGGAUACCUCUGGGUGUACGAGGACGGCAGUUACUUUGCCACCCUCAUUGGCUGCGUCAUUGGUGGUUUCUUUGGUAUCCUCAUCGUCUUUGGUCUGUCAUACACUGUGCUCAGGAGAUCUGAGAGGUUCCAGCUCUGUUUCAGGGGGAAAGAUCGUGAGGAUGACGUCACCACAAUGGUGACAAAGGAUUAAACACACACCUUGCAAUACUGUUGGAUUUACUUAUUCAACUUCUUAAAGGUGGCACUUUUGUUUUUUUUUGCAUAUGCAGAUUUUGAUUGUAAUUUCUAUUUUGUUUUACUGUUCUAUUAUUUGCUUAUCUAGCAGUAUGCAGUAUCUGAUACUGGCAUCAAUUUCCUGUGUUUUUAUCUUAUUAAAUGUAGCUAAACAUAGGAAAUUAAACAAAAUGUUGCAUUUUGAAAACUUCUUACAAAAGUCCCAUAUAUCAUAUUCUCACCCAUAAAAUUUUAGAUUUGUUUUGCCUUGGUUUGUUCAGUCGCAGUUCUACUAUUUGUCCAACAGAGAGCAGCCAUGACAGUACAGAAACUGAAGUUCAAUUAUGCUGGGAUACUACUAAAGCGUUUUUAAUAAUGUACUAUAAUUGUGCGUCUCUGACUUUUCCUCUACUCCGGAAUACUGAAGUUUAUGUUAAUUUUUUAUACUGCGCUUUAUAGCUCCAUUAAUUGUUUUACAGUUAUGCUGGCAGCCAGCUAACACCUGUUUUCACUGCAUAAACAAUAGAGAGCAGGACGUCUGAGUAGCUGUCUAAAGUGUUCCAGUGGAGGAUCAGUAGAGGUGGUGCGAUGUUGACUCAGCUGGCCUGCUAUGCUCUGGCAUGACUCUGACACGGACACAACUCACAUCACUUCAAAUCCCACAAUAUGCAUUGCUAAUUUGUUUAGAAUUACAUACAUUCUUUGAGAUGUAUUUAUAUUUUUAUGCAUGCUCCCCAUCUUCAGAGUGGCUUGUCAGAGGAUAUGGUCAAAUGCUCAAAGGCCCUUAGAUGGUUUGUUUAGUGACAAAUAUGCCUCCUAACAAGUAAGAGUACUGUACGUUUUGAGUGUUCCAGCACGAGCGUGCUUGUGUCAGUGCAUGCAGGCAUACUUACAUACCACACUUUUGUUUAAGUCUAAGCUAUGCACCGGAGUUGUGUCAGUGCAUGCAGGCAUACUUACAUACCAUACUUUUGUUUAAGUCUAAGCUAUGCACCGGAGUUGUGUCAGUGCAUGCAGGCAUACUUACAUACCAUACUUUUGUUUAAGUCUAAGCUAUGCACCGGAGUUGUGUCAGUGCAUGCAGGCAUACUUACAUACCACACUUUUGUUUAAGUCUAAGCUAUGCACCGGAGUUGUGUCAGUGCAUGCAGGCAUACUUACAUACCACACUUUUGUUUAAGUCUAAGCUAUGCACCGGAGUUGUGUCAGUGCAUGCAGGCAUACUUACAUACCACACUUUUGUUUAAGUCUAAGCUAUGCACCGGAGCUGUGUCAGUGAUGAUGCAUUCAUAUUAUAUUAAUACAGUGUGUUCCAUUUGUAUUGGGGCAGUGAAACUUGUUGUUUUGGCUCUGUACACUUUGGAUUUAAAAUUAUUCAAUGACUAUGAUGUUAAAGUGCUGACUGUCAGCUUUAAUUUGAGGUUAUUUUCAUCCAUAUCGGGUGAACCGUUUAGAAAUGACAGCACUUUUUGUAAAUAGUCCCCCCAUUUGGACAAAUGCACUUAUGUGUAUUAAAGUAGUAGAAAGUUAAGUAUUUGGUCCCAUAUUCAUCGCACGCAAUGACUACAUCAAGCUUGUGACUGCAAAUUUGUUGAAUGCAUUUGUUGUUUGUUUUGGUUGUGUUUCAGAUUAUAUUGUGCCCAAUAUAAAUGAAUGGUCAAUAAUGUAUCGUGUCAUUUUGGAGUCACUUUAAUUGUAAAAUAAGAAUAAAAUAUGUUUCUAAACAUUUCUGCAUUAAUGUGGAUGCUACCAUGAUUACGGAUAAUCCUGAAUGAAUCGUGAAUAAUGAUGAAUGAGAAAGUUACAGACACAAUUCAUUAUUUACCAUUCCUAUGUAUUGGGCACAAAAUAAUCUGAAACACAACCAAAACAAACAGCAAAUGCAUUCAAUAAAUGUGUAGAGUCACAAGCUUGAUGUGGUCAUUGUGUGCGAUGACUAUGGGACCAAAUACUUAACUUUUUACUACUUUCAUACACAUACAAGUACAUUUGUCGUAAUACUUUUGGUGCCUUAAAAUGGGGGAACUAUGUAGAAAAAGUGCUGUAAUUUCUAAAUGGUUCACCCGAUUUGGAUAAAAAUAUCCUCAAAUUAAAUAUGACACUCUGCACGUCAACCUCACAGUCAUGAUAUAAUUUAAAAUCCAAAGUGCUGGGGUACAGAGCCAAAACAAACCAAAAAUAUGUCACUGUCUCAAUACUAUUUUAAAGAGAUGUUGUGCAAAGAAGAGAGCAGGGUUUUGUGGAGGGAAUGUCUUAUGUGUGUGUUGUACCUGUGUGUCAGCUUUACCCUUUGGAUAGCCCACCCUGACUGUCUCUUGUGUGAGUCUACGACAACCCUUUCCCUGUGGCCACUGGUUCUGUAGACUAUGUAGCUGAGGUAUGUGUAAGGUACCCAAUUGUCAUACUUGAGUAAAAGUAAAGAUACCUUAAUAUGAAAGGACUCAAGUAAAAGUGAGUCACCCAGUAAAAUCCUACUUGAGUAAAAGUCUAAAAGUAUUUGGUUUUAAAUAUACUUAAGUAUCAAAAGUCAAUGUAAUCUCAAAAAUGUACUUAAGUAUCAAAAGUAAAAGUAUAAAUCAUUUCAAAUUCCUUUUAUAAAGCAAACCAGACGGCACUCAUAUUUUUAUUACAUAUUUGUUUUACAGAUAGCCAGGAGCGCCCUCUUACACUCAGACGUAAUUUACAAACAAAGUAUUUUUGUUUAGUUGGUCUGCCAGAUCAGAGGCAGUACAUAUGACCAGGAACGUUGUCUUGAUAAAUGCGUGACUUGGACCAUUUUCCUGUACUGCUAAGCAUUCAAAAUGUAAUGAGUACUUUUGAGUGUCGGGGAAAAUGUAUGGAGUAAAAAGUACAUGAUUUUCUUUAGGAAUGUAGUAAAGUAAAAGUAUACAUUGUCAAAAAUAUACAUAAAUAGUAAAGUACAGAUACCAAAGAAAAAACUAUGUAGGUAGUACUUUAAAGUAUUUUACAUCACUGGGUAUGCAGGUAUGCAGUCUUCCAAUCAAUUAGUUUGCACUAUAUGGUCAGUUUUGAACAUUGUGGAAAAGUUGUGUUAUCAUCAGUAAUAAAUGUCUUAA